rnacentral:rRNA from 1 species
AGCGAACGCUGGCGGCAGGCUUAACACAUGCAAGUCGAACGGGCAUAGCAAUAUGUCAGUGGCAGACGGGUGAGUACGCGUGGGAACGUACCUUUUGGUUCGGAACAACACAGGGAAACUUGUGCUAAUACCGGAUAAGCCCUUACGGGGAAAGAUUUAUCGCCGAAAGAUCGGCCCGCGUCUGAUUAGCUAGUUGGUAGGGUAAUGGCCUACCAAGGCGACGAUCAGUAGCUGGUCUGAGAGGAUGAUCAGCCACAUUGGGACUGAGACACGGCCCAAACUCCUACGGGAGGCAGCAGUGGGGAAUAUUGGACAAUGGGCGAAAGCCUGAUCCAGCCAUGCCGCGUGAGUGAUGAAGGCCCUAGGGUUGUAAAGCUCUUUUGUGCGGGAAGAUAAUGACGGUACCGCAAGAAUAAGCCCCGGCUAACUUCGUG